rnacentral:rRNA from 1 species
AUUGAACGCUGGCGGCAGGCCUAACACAUGCAAGUCGAACGAGUGGCGGACGGGUGAGUAAUGUCUGGGAAACUGCCUGAUGGAGGGGGAUAACUACUGGAAACGGUAGCUAAUACCGCAUACCAUCGGAUGUACCCAUAUGGGAUUAGCUAGUAGGUGGGGUAAAGGCUCACCUAGGCGACGAUCCCUAGCUGGUCUGAGAGGAUUACCAGCCACACUGGAACUGAGACACGGCCCAGACUCCUACGGGAGGCAGCAGUGGGGAAUAUUGCACAAUGGGCGCAAGCCUGAUGCAGCCAUGCCGCGUGUAUGAAGAAGGCCUUCGGGUUGUAAAGUACUUUCAGCGGGGAGGCGUUACCGGCAGAAGAAGCACCGGCUAACGCCGUGCCAGCCGCCGCGGUAAUUC